rnacentral:rRNA from 1 species
CACGUAGGGUGCGAGCGUUGUCCGGAAUUAUUGGGCGUAAAGAGCUCGUAGGUGGCUUGUCGCGUCUGCCGUGAAAGCCCAUGGCUUAACUGUGGGUCUGCGGUGGAUACGGGCUGGCUAGAGGUGAGGUAGGGGAAGCGGAAUUCCGUGGUGUAGCGGUGAAAUGCGUAGAGUAUUGGGAAGGAACACCAGUGGCGAAGGCGGCUCGACUGGACCGGAACGUGACGC